GGGAUGGAUCAGUGGCGAACGGGUGAGUAACACGUGAGCAACCUGCCCUCCACUUCGGGAUAAGCCUUGGAAACGGGGUCUAAUACCGGAUAUGAGCCUGCAUCGCAUGGUGUGGGUUGGAAAGUUUUUCGGUGGGGGAUGGGCUCGCGGCCUAUCAGCUUGUUGGUGGGGUGAUGGCCUACCAAGGCGUCGACGGGUAGCCGGCCUGAGAGGGCGACCGGCCACACUGGGACUGAGACACGGCCCAGACUCCUACGGGAGGCAGCAGUGGGGAAUAUUGCACAAUGGGCGAAAGCCUGAUGCAGCGACGCCGCGUGAGGGAUGACGGCCUUCGGGUUGUAAACCUCUUUCAGCAGGGAAGAAGCGCAAGUGACGGUACCUGCAGAAGAAGCGCCGGCUAACUACGUGCCAGCAGCCGCGGUAAUACGUAGGGCGCAAGCGUUGUCCGGAAUUAUUGGGCGUAAAGAGCUCGUAGGCGGUCUGUCGCGUCUGGUGUGAAAUCCCGAGGCUCAACCUCGGGCUUGCAUCGGGUACGGGCAGACUAUAGUGCCGUAGGGGACACUGGAUUCCCGGCGUACCGGC
rnacentral:rRNA from 1 species